UCAGACAGUUUCUUGGGAGGCCGGUCACCCGGGUAAGGACCCCACAGGCUGCGAGGGAACCAGCGAGCUUCAUUCCCUCCUGAGCUGGGAGACCCCCACCCGGGGCAGAGGCGCCCGUCUUUCUUCCUUCUGCAUUUGGACGCGGUCCUGCCUGGGGCUCUCGGCUCAGACUGCUCUGGACAACAGUGAAGCCCACACUCUUGGCCAACCUUCUAGGCGUGAGCCCGGCCUUUGCGGUCAACAACCCUUUCAAGGUGGGAAGUUGAAAGUAUCAAGAUCUCCCUUUGCUUGUGCUUGGAGAAAUAACAGCCACCCAGCAUGUCUCCGCAUCAGACCACCCCCGUCUCCCACAGGCUGUGGGUCCCCACCUGGGUCAGCAGCGGCUUCUCGACUUCACCGUUGCCGGUGUGGGGCCCGCCUGCAAGUCUUGGUUCCAUACAUGGACGCGCUGAAGCGUGGAGACGUCGAGCUCCUUCCCCAGGGUCACGUGGGGGCUGGGUGGGGUGUGGACCUCGCAGGCCGGCUUCGUCACUGUCCGAUGUCCGCUGGCUCCGAGCCUCCAAGUGAGGUCACCAGGGUACUGCCAUUCCUCAUUCCUCAACUGUCAGCCCUGGACCAAGGGCUCCCUCUGCAAAGCCGGCUCAGCUGCCCACAGACCGGGGCCCCUGCUUCUCUGCGAUUCUUGGUGCUUUCUUGGGUUUGGCACAACGCCCACCAGGGCCCUCCGCACACUUUGUUACGGUUACCGUUUGCAGCCUGUCUCCUGGCUGACCAGUGAGCUUCCACCUGUGUCCUCCCCUCCCAGAGCCUCGUGGCAGGCGCUUGCUGCCAUUCGUUCAAUGACCAAAGGAAGAAGCAGAGACAAAGCUGUAAGGGACAGAGACAAAGCCCCUCCUGGGUCUCACCCGUCACCAGCUGAGUAAGUACUUUGGCCCCUGUUGCCCUUGGUCAUCCGUGAGGACAGAGCCUUCGCGGCACUGAAGGAAGAGACAACACCUCCCCAUUCUCUUUCUGGACCCUAUGGUUCUUCUCAAGGUCAUGUCUCGGUUUUUGUCAAAGACACAAGAGGUGUCUACGCUUUGAUCCAGAAGCGUGGACUGUGGGUUUCGCAGAGCCGGGGCUAAGCCCUGUUCCGUCACGAAUCCCUCAGCUGUUGGGCACAAGGGAGCCGGUCCGCCCUGCCUGGACCAGUUUGCUCACCUGCACGUGUGGAACUGAGAGUCACGCCCAGACUUUGGGGGGGUGCUGGGAGCAUCACCGCCCACGGGACUCACGAGUCCUGGCUCAGACCAGGUCCUCAGGGUCCCUGGGUGAAGGCCCAUGAGGGCGGAGGCUUGAGGGGAAGCCAGAGCAGGGAGCAGGACCUGGGGACCCCGGAGAGAAGAGCGCGCGGCCGGAGCUGAGGACCCCCGUGGGGACGGGAGUGAGUUACAGCUAAUCCCGCACUUAUGCAACUGUUCCAUUCCGAAAGGCCUUUCUCAACUUGAACUUUGCACCAGAAGCCUGCUUGGGACUUAAAGGCGCUGUCUCCCCGGCAGGAGGGCUCAGGCUCGGCAGUGACUCCCUGUCUGCCCUCUCCAGAGCGGGGAGGCAGUGGCCCCCAGCCCCAGUCCUGUGGUCUUUCUGCGGCCUGUCGAUCUUUACUGAAAAGCUCCUCUGGUCACCUGUGGCAGUGCAGGCGCAAGGUCCUCCUCCUGUCACGGAGCUGGUCCCCCCCCAUUGCUCUGCUCCCUCCUCCCAGAUGCCACCGACGGACACUUUGAGCCCCCCAAACGCACAUGUGAGAACCUGUGCUGUGCUGGUGUUGGGAGGUGACUGGCCUUGUGUGGGGGGUCGUGGUGCUGGGACGGGGCGAGCGUCCUCCUAAGGAGAGGACGGUCCUGGAGAGGGAGCACAGAGCCAGCCCUGCAGCUGCCUGCCCUUGGGUCUCCUGCCUCCGGGGCUCUGAGGAUUGACACUGGGCUGUCCCCCUGGGGGGUCCGUGAGGUCUGCACGGCUCGAGCGAGCCGAGCUGAGGCCUGGCCCCGGCCACCCGGGUCUGGCCCACUGGUCCCUCUGCCCUGAGAGCUCUUGGCACAUCUGGCCCUCUCUGGAACCCUGUCCAGGGCCCCCACGCCCCUUGCCUGCCUUGCCCUUCAGGAGCUGCACCCCUGGCGAACACCGCGUGCAACCCCACAGCCAUGAGGCCAUCCUGUCCCCCGUCACGCACAUCCCUCUGCCACGCUCUUCUCAGAAGCAGGAGCGGGAUCCCUCCUGGAACCCAUCAUGCGUCACGCGCCUGUGGCCUGGCAGGGACCAGAGGGCGGCCGCCUUCCCCCGCUGCUCCCAGAGGAAUCCACACAACCUGGGUGAGGUUUAACCCAAGGCAGACGCUCGGUCCUUGCUGGGGACACAGUGGGCUAGAUGUCUCUUGUGCACAGUGUCACGUCCUAGUGAUCGACCCCAAGGAUGUGUCGUGGGAAUCACUUUGUUGGUCGCUCGGCCCCACGUGUCCGAAGGGGACAGGGUCCCCGUCUCUCCAGUCUUGCUGGCGAGCCCCGGGAGAGGGAGAAGGCCCCAUUCCCGGGACCACUGAGUGGCUGUGGAAGCGCCAGAAGGAAGGAGGCAGGCGGAGGGCUCCGUGGGCCCCCGCGGGCGGUCAUGCCGUGUGGCCACGGCCGGGACAGCCUUUCUCAGCUGGAGGAAGCAGCCAGAACUUUCACUUGGUCUGGUUUCCUCCAUCACCUCCCCAGCGGUGACCACCUCCUGCGUGCAUCGGAGCGGCCCGAGGUUCACGUACCUGGGCCCCCCAGGGCCUGGCGGAGGUUGUCUUCUUGGCCAUGCGGGUUCUCCCCGCCACACUUCUCCAGGCCCGACCAGGCUUGCAUUUCUCUGCUUUACCUCAGGCUCCAAAUUAAACUCCUUGUGUCUUCGAGGGUGUCUUAUCACUCUGCGCAUCGCCCUGCAGGCCAGCAGGGUUCCACGGUCCCGGCUCUCCAGCGGGCUGGCCAGAGGUGUCCCGCCGGCGGCUGCUCCCGGCCCCAGGUGGCUCACAGGUGCAUCGUGGACACUCCCGGGCCUUGUCCAUCUCUGUGACUUUGCCUCAAACACACCUGGGUUUUGGGUGAUGGUGCCACUGGCUGCUUCCCAAGUCCCAGGAGCCGGCACACUCCAGUGUGCCUUAAAUCUUCUGUCCCAACACUGCCCACCAGGUCCCGAUGACCGGGACCCUCGAAGACCCUGCAGGUGUUUCCUUGGCAACACGGGACGGGCUGCCUAAGUUGUCACCGGCCGGCUAAUUCUUUUGUACCCUAAAUUUUAAAA